ensembl:lncRNA
UUUUUUUUUUUUUUUUUUUUUUGGUCUGUUUUGUUCACUGCUGUAGCUCCAGAACCUGGAAUAGUACCUGGUUCCUGGUGGGGCUCAAAGGAUAUGUGUAUAAUAAAUAAGUGGAUACAUAUUUUAUGUUAAUUUAGUCAACAAAUAUUUAAGAACCAUGAGGGUACAGGUUCGAUCCCUGGCCUUGCUCAUGGGUUAAGGAUCCAGCAUUGCUGUGAGCUGUGGUGUAGGUCGAAGAUGCGGCUCGGAUCAAGCGUUGCUGUGGCUCUGGUGUAGGCCGGCGGCUAUAGCUCCGAUUUGACCCCUAGCCUGGGAACCUCCAUAUGCCUCAGAAGGGGCCCAAGAAAUGGCAAAAAGACAAAAAAAGAAGAAAAAAAAAAGAAAUACUUAGGAAGCAGGACCAUAAGGACUUAGUGGUGGAUUAGAUAUGAUGGGUAAGGAAAACAGAGGAGUCAAGGAUGAUUCUGUUUCCCGGGUGAACAAUUAGUUAGAUGUUAUCACUUCCAAGACAGUGGACUCCAGAAGAAGACUUUGAUUCAAAAAAAGAUGAGUUUCAGUCUUGGACAUAGUGACUUGGAUGAUCUAAUAAGAAGAUAAGCAAGUGGACAUACCCAGAAGGCAGUUAAUUAUACCAAGGUUGAACAGACUAGAACCAGAUGGCAAAGGUAACCGAGAAAAGGCAAGUAGGAAAAAAAAAAAAAAGAAAAAAGAAAAGGCAUCCAAACCGAAGGAAAAAAGUAAAAGUCCUAUCUCUACGCACAGAGAGCAUGAUCUUAUAUAUAGAAAAUCCUAAGGAAUCUACACAAAAUCUACUAGAGAUAAACAAACAAGUUCAGCAAGGUUACAAGAUCAAUAUACAAGUCAGUUAUACUUAUUUAUAUGUACAUAAUUAUACAUGCUAUAUAUAAAAAUGAAUUGCACUUGCAAUGAACAAUUAAAAAAAAAAUCAAAGAUCUAGAACCUUUCCAUCACCCCAGAAAGUUUUUUCAUGCCCCUUACUAGUCAAUCCCCUACAGAGGCAACUACUGUGCUGAUUUUUUUUAAUGGAACUUGCUGCAAUGAAAUCAAACAACAUGUACUCUUUUGAGUGAGGCUUUUUUACUUAGCAUAAUAUUUUUGAGCUCUGUUCAUGUUGUUGCUUGUAUCAGGAGUCUCCUCUUUUUAUUACUGAGUAGUACCCACUGCAGGAUAAUAGCUGAUGUAGCCAUUCUUCUGUUCAUGUACAACAAGCUGGCUGCAGUUUGGGGGCUUCCACAACUAAAGCCAUGACUAUUCUUGUACAUUGUUUUUUGUUAUAUUGUUGAAAUGUGCUUUCAUUUAUUUUGAGUAAAUACUUGAGUGGAAUUUCUGGAUCGUGGCGUAAGUGAAUCUGUAGAUCGUUUUCCAAAAGUGGCUAUACCAGUGUAUAUUCCCAACAAGGAUGUAUAAGACUUCUCAUUGCCUGACAGCUUUUAAACUUUAGCCGUUCUGGUAGGCAUAGAGUGAACUAUCUCAUUGUGGUUUUCAUUUACAUUUCCCCGACGACUAGCGAUGCUGAGUGCUUUGUAAUAUGUUUACUAGACAUCUGCAUAGCAUAAUCUUUGGUGAUGUGUUUGUUUACAUCUUUUGCCCACAUCACACUGGGCGUUACUGAAUUGCUCAGACUUUUUCUCUCUUAGAUACCAAUCUUCAUGAUCAUGGUAUCUCCCCUGCCAGGUAAGUAUUAGAUGCCAAUCCUUAAACAUCUGUUUGGCAAAUAUCAUCCCAAGUGACAAGGAUUUAUUGGCUGAAUUGCCUACAGUUUUUAAGUAAUUUAUAGAACGUCUCUCUUUCAAAUCAAACAGAUUUGGAUUUAAAUCUUGACGCUACCUAAAACUAGAAUUUGAGCAAGGUAUUUAACUUCGAGGGCAUGUUCCCAUCUGUAGAACAGAGAUAACGCUUACCUUUAUAGGGUUGUUGUGAUGAUUUAUAUCAUCACAUAUCUGGCACAUCAAAGGUUUUCAAUAAAUGCUAGUUCCGUUCUUUUCUGACUUUAAUUCUACAAUAAUAUGGCAGUUGCUGCCUUAAAUAGCUGAACUGCAAUUCUUAUACUACAAAACUCUAAAAAUUUGAAUUUUCACAAUGGUAAAAAUCACUGCAAUAGUGAAGACCAGAAAAAAUUAGGGUUCCUGGGAAGUGAGUACUGUGUCUAUUAUUCUAGUUCAGUAGUAUAUUCAAAACAAGGCUGAACCUAAAAGUAGUCAAAUGAAAUGAAAUUCAUCUGGAGGUGAAACUGAAAAGAAACAGGUGAAAAACUCAAAUUUCAUCUGAAAAGGGUGAAAAUUCAAAUUGUGUUGAGCUGAGUCAUCUGUUAUAGCAUGUAGAAAAUUUAAAUGACAUGCUAUUGCAAUACAAUUGUACUGAAUCCUAUCUAUACCAGAGUUAGCUGUAUUUCAUCUCUUAUAGAAAUUCACAUAUAAAAACAGAUUUAACCUGGAGUUCCCUUGUGGCUCAGUGGGUUAAAGAUCUGGCAUUGUCACUGCAGUGGCUUGAGUUGCUGCUGUGGCACAGGUUCAAUCCCUGGCCUAGGAACUUCCACAUGCCACAAGUGUGGCCGAAAAGAAAAAUAAGCUUAACCCAAAAGUAUUUUUAGGGAAUAACUUCAACAUGUUAAUAAUACUUUAAACGUGAGUUGUGCUAAUAACUUACUAUAGGUUAGUAUAUGUUAUGGUAAUUACUGUAAUUGUUAUUAUGCGUACAGAAUGUGAUUUAUUAUUUUCCGUCCCUAUAUUAUUUGUUGUUAUAAAAAAGUUCAGGUUCUGGAUCUGAAUUUUGUCCCCUUAGUUUACAAGUUAGCUAAUUCGUCUAAAUUUCACUUGUAAAGUGAAAAUAAUAAAUAAUAAUAAUAUCUAUUUUAUAUCAUUGCUGUGAGAAUUAAAUGAGAUAAGCUUAUGAUGCCCUGAGCACAGAAUACUUUCAGCAUGUAGUAAGUGUCAGUAAAUAUUAGGUAUUUGUUAUAGCUGCUGCCCAAGUAUGUUAGUCAAGUUUUUUCCUAAGUUUCUGUGACUAGUCUGGGCUUCAUAUUUUCCAAUUUAGAGAGUUAACUGAAAUAAUGAUUCAUCUGCCAAACUGACUGGAAAACACUGACAGAUUAUAUGCUUUGCAUUCUUCAGAGCUCAGCAUAAACGUCACUUUCUCAGAGAGAAACAGAGAGAAACAGGCCCUUCGUUUAAAGUUUAACUUCUAAUCGGUAAAUAUUGAUAGAUAUGACCCACAUAAACAAGUGCUUUUGGGGAGGCCUCGGUAAUUUUUCAUAAUGUAAAAAGGUCCUGAGACCAAAAUGUUUGAGACUGACAUAAUGAACUGAUUAGAAAAUCAGAACUCUCCUGAUUCAAAGUAUAUUUCUUUGAUUUAUCUUCCCUUCUUUGUCUAGAUUUAAUUUGAGUAGUAAUAAAAAGUAUAUACACUCACUUUUCCUCAUUGUAGUUAUACCUACAUUAAGAUUACAAAAGCUAAUUAUGACUUCAGGUUUAGAUUUGUUUUCUUUUGUUUACUAUGAACUAGGACUGCAUCAACUUAAAUGCAGAAGGCAUAAUGAUGCCUACAGGCGCUUAUAC